rnacentral:rRNA from 1 species
AGAGUUUGAUCCUGGCUCAGGAUGAACGCUGGCGGCGUGCCUAACACAUGCAAGUCGAGCGAUUUACUUCGGUAAAGAGCGGCGGACGGGUGAGUAACGCGUGGGUAACCUGCCCUGUACACACGGAUAACAUACCGAAAGGUAUGCUAAUACGAGAUAAUAUGCUUUUAUCGCAUGGUAGAAGUAUCAAAGCUUUUGCGGUACAGGAUGGACCCGCGUCUGAUUAGCUAGUUGGUAAGGUAACGGCUUACCAAGGCGACGAUCAGUAGCCGACCUGAGAGGGUGAUCGGCCACAUUGGAACUGAGACACGGUCCAAACUCCUACGGGAGGCAGCAGUGGGGAAUAUUGCACAAUGGGCGAAAGCCUGAUGCAGCAACGCCGCGUGAGCGAUGAAGGCCUUCGGGUCGUAAAGCUCUGUCCUCAAGGAAGAUAAUGACGGUACUUGAGGAGGAAGCCCCGGCUAACUACGUGCCAGCAGCCGCGGUAAUACGUAGGGGGCUAGCAUUAUCCGGAUUUAUUGGGCGUAAAGGGAACGCAGGCGGUUUUUUAAGUCUGAUGUGAAAGCCUUCGGCUUAACCGG